CAGUAGCCGCGGUAAUACGAAGGGGGCUAGCGUUGCUCGGAAUUACAGGGCGUAAAGGGCGCGUAGGCGGACAAUUAAGUCGGGGGUGAAAGCCCGGGGCUCAACCUCGGAAUUGCCUUCGAUACUGGCUGUCUUGAGUGUGAGAGAGGUGUGUGGAACUCCGAGUGUAGAGGUGAAAUUCGUAGAUAUUCGGAAGAACACCAGUGGCGAAGGCGACACACUGGUUCACUACUGACGCUGAGGCGCGAAAGCGUGGGGAGCAAACAGGAUUAGAUACCCGAGUAGUCCCUGUCUCUUAUAC
rnacentral:rRNA from 1 species